CGACCGCAUAACAUCUUGUCAAGCUAUAGCAAACCGGUAUUUAUUACGUCCCUUAUGUGACCGCCGCCGCGCGCCGCCACCGGUGAAGUUGGGGUUAGUAUUUUGCAUGUUUUGUUUGAUAAUUUGUUUACAGUUUAGUGCAAACUAUGGUUACGAUCUGUGUUAUUGUUGGUUGUUAAAAUAUUGUGAGUGCUCUAUACGCAAAUGAAUAUUCAAGAUGUUAUAUUCUAAAAGAUAUUAGUGGAUGCAGAUAAGAGUGUUUAGUGAGUGCUAUGUUUGAAUAUUGCAAGUGAAAACGCAGCCUAUCGAUGUAAUGCGCCGAUAAAUUAUCAUGACUCCAUUGAUGUAAUGCGCUUAAAAACUGCAAUGGCUCCGAAUACAUGAUUACCAGAUAACAAAUCCUGGCGCAGCUUACGUGUGUUCUUCAAUAACGUCGCAAGCUACAGUGGCUGUUGAUAAUUUUUGCAAGUUCUACACCUACAGGAUUCAGCUAUCUGGGCAUUAUAGAUACCCUAUAAUCACCUACGAAGUUAUUUAGGUAUAUUUAUUAAAACCAUUAUACAAGGUGUGGCAAAAAGGGUAUACUAAGCUGAAAGCUACAUGUGCAGCAUGGUAUAUCUAAGCC